rnacentral:lncRNA from 1 species
UGCCGCAUGGGCUCCAUAGAUCAGUGGGAGAAGAAAUGGGACUCGAUCGUCAGAUAGACAGAAGAGAGGAGAGAGGCAGUGCGCGUCCACAGGCCGCGCGGCUUGGGCCGGCCUGCCAAUCCAGAAGCUGGCCAACGGGCCAGGAGAGGAGAGUGGACUCGGGCGGGGAGAAGAAAGGGGAAGCGGAGCUGGGCUGGGGGCCAGGCUUGCCUGCGUGUGGGGCUGGGCCAGAGUGGCCAAGGGUCCGGUUCUCCCUUCUUUUCUUUUCUUUUUUUAAAUUCAAAACCAUUUCAAACUCAAUUUCAAAAGCAUUUAAAUACACUUUUUUUUGAAUUUUGAGUUCAAAUACACACAUCACCACAAAUAAAAUGCAGAAGCAUGAGUGCACAAGAAUGUUGGUAGGUCCUAUGAAAUUUUAUUCAAAUGGAAAAUAUAUUAUUUCUCUAUGUUUCAUGAGCACAAAAAUAAAAAAUUAAAAAAAAAUCAUCUAUUUAAAAGGAGCAAACUUUUAGGGUGUUACAAAUCUACCCCCCUUAAAAUGAAUCUCGUCCUCGAGAUUCAGAAAAGGCACGGAUUCCAAAAGAGAAAUAGGAAAAAGAUAUUGAUCACUAUUUCAACUUCACAACUGGUAUUCCAAAUGCAAACACUUAUGUCUCGGGAUCACAACUUAUGAACAAAACUUCCAUAAAAUGUCUUCUAUUCGUAUUUGUUCAAGGUCCAUCUUGACUACCAACUUUUUGACUUAUACAACUCGAUGACAUGAUAACUUAGCAUGGAUAUGCCUCCUUAGGUAGGAGUGGACCACCUUCAUACUCGAUUCUUUUCCCUGAUGGUGCGGUUAAGAAAAUUUUCCACUGGGUAGCAUAGAUCACUCCUUUGUGUGCACAUAACCAUAAGAUAGCUCAGAAGAUAGUUAUCACUUCAUGAUAGUUUAAAAUGCAUCUUCCAGUGAUAUCAAGGUACUACCCCCUUAAGACAAGGUUGGUUGGGGGACAUUAGGGACUAAUUCUCCUAUCCUUUUUAGAUGCUACACAUCAUAUAGUCAUUUAAAUUCGUUGUACAGAGUCUCUGAUCCAAGGUUAGUUUUAUCACUAAGCUCUAAUUAUCGGUACCUUUAUCAUAGUUAAGUUGCUUCACUCUCAUAUUGUAUAUAUAACUUUGCAGACUUUGGUGUCAUCUGAUUUGUAACACCCCA